rnacentral:rRNA from 1 species
GCGUGGGUGAAGAAGGUCUUCGGAUUGUAAAGCCCUUUCGACAGGGACGAUGAUGACGGUACCUGUAGAAGAAGCCCCGGCUAACUUCGUGCCAGCAGCCGCGGUAAUACGAAGGGGGCUAGCGUUGCUCGGAAUGACUGGGCGUAAAGGGCGCGUAGGCGGAUGGUUUAGUCAGACGUGAAAUUCCUGGGCUCAACCUGGGGGCUGCGUUUGAUACGGAUCAUCUAGAGUUUGGAAGAGGGUCGUGGAAUUCCCAGUGUAGAGGUGAAAUUCGU